CUGCCGCUGCCCCAGGGCAGCAGAUGACACCCCAGCUCGGCACAGCUGGCAGGCCCCCUCUGCCUCUGCCUUUGUCCAGCAGUCAGGCAGGUGGCUGGCAACGCCUGCUUUGGCGAGGGGCCGUCUUUUCCCAUCUCCCCCGCCCCCCUGCCCGCUCGAAUGCCCGUCUCUUCCCGAAACGCCCUCGGACAGCGGGAAACGGUGACUCUUUCCCCGGCGUCUGCACGUCCCUCGGCCAGGCCAAGUUGACACAAAAUAGCCCCCACGUCGGGGGCCUGCUGUCCAGGCGCUCACGGAUGUGGGACGUGAGAAGGAACUUCCCCCCUCCUCCGUCAUCCCGAAGACCCGAGAGUUUUCAGCACAGACGUUUCGAACGGCCGGGCUCGAGACCUUGUCCCUGGGGGGUGAGGGACCCCUGCGGCACGUGCUGGGCGGUCUGGCAUGAAUUCUCUUUAAACUGGAACCCACAGGGCCCACUAACCUAUAACGACGCGCCCCAGGCCCUUGGCCGGUGCUACGGUUUCCAAGGUGCUUCCGCUGGGCUGCCGGCCCCCACGUCCUCCCCUCCGGUUUUCUUGCGGCUCCUCUCUCUGUCCCGCGUCUGAGCUGCUGAGGUUGGGACCGGCGUCCUUCUCCUUCCCGGGGGACCCCACAUUCUCCAACCUUGUGUUCUCAGUGUCCGCCAACCGGCUGCUUUCCGUCCAACGCUUUGAAACGAAAAUGAGUCUGUGGGGCCGUUUCAGCCCCGGACGCAUCCAGCGGGAGCCGCGUUUACGGGUGACCGGCGACCGCUUAGUUACACGGCGAUCACGGUCAGCGGCGGGGCGGUCGCUCAGCAAGUGCCACGUCAUCAGUGUUGUUGGCCCUGGUUACCCCGGUCGCCCCAGGCACAGGGGGGCUGCACCGUGACUGCCUGCGGACCUCGCAGAUGCGGGCGAGACGCGACCGCCGCGGCCUGGGAUUGCCAAGGACGCAAGCGCGCAUGUCCGGCGAGCACUCUCAGGAGCUGCUGGGGUGGCGAGGCUUUACUCCGGUCUGUGGCCGCCGUCCCCGCUGGUUCAUGCGGUUCCUUCAUGUCUUCAGGACCAAAGAAGAGGAACCGUCCCCGUGACGUCUGAUUUAGGGGCACCUUUUACUUCUGAACGGGAAACCGAGGCCUGUCGGGGGGUGGGGAGCUGCUUCAGACCAGUUAUGAAUAUAUUUUGGAUCAGCGAGCUCACCACACUCCUGGGAAAAGGACUUCUGCGGACCCGUCUCAUAAACCUUGUGUUUUCCGUGGAUUUGUCUUGGUAAAAUGCACAUUUCGGUGAUGAUGUGAACUUUAUCCUAUUGAUAUAAAUACUCAGUGUUUGUGCAAAGCUGUAACCAUGGUGAGUAUAUGGAGCACUUUAAGUAAAUUUGUUCCCUGACA